rnacentral:rRNA from 1 species
CGGCAACAGCUCAAAUUUGAAAUCUGGCCUCUCGGGGUCCGAGUUGUAAUUUGUAGAGGAUGUUUUGGGUACCGCCCCGGUCUAAAUUUCUUGGAACAGAAUGUCAAAGAGGGUGAGAAUCCCGUCUU